rnacentral:tRNA from 1 species
UCCCUGGAGGCCCAAUGGUUAGGGCUCUGUGCUUCCACUAUAGGGGGCACUGGUUCGAUCCCUGAUAGGGGAA